rnacentral:rRNA from 1 species
UACGUAGGGUCCAAGCGUUGUUCGGAAUUACUGGGCGUAAAGCGCGCGUAGGCGGGUUUGUAUGUCGAUUGUGAAAUCCCCGGGCUCAACCUGGGAACUGCAGUCGAAACUGCAAAUCUUGAAUGUCUGAGAGGAUGGCGGAAUUCCCGGUGUAGUAGUGAAAUACGUAGAUAUCGGGAAGAACACCUGAGGCGAAGGCGGCUCACUGGUCCGGUACUGACGCUGAGGUGCGAAAGCGUGGGGAGCAAACAGG